GACGAACCGAGCGAACGUUAUUCGGAAUCACUGGGCUUAAAGGGCGCGUAGGCGGGCGGCCAAGUCAGGGGUGAAAGCCCCCAGCUCAACUGGGGAAGUGCCUUUGAUACUGGUCAUCUCGAGGGAGAUAGGGGCGUGCGGAACUUCCGGUGGAGCGGUGAAAUGCGUAGAUAUCGGAAGGAACACCGGUGGCGAAAGCGGCGCGCUGGAUCUCUUCUGACGCUGAGGCGCGAAAGCCAGGGGAGCGAACGGG
rnacentral:rRNA from 1 species